UCGUGAUGUUUCGAUCGAGCUCUCGAGCACGAUCGUUCGUCACUAGGGAAGCCGGUGAGACACCGGCACGGCGCCCGCCACGGUGACCGGGGACGAUCUCGGGCAGAACCACUGGUACGGCGACGCUAGCCGCACUGGGAAGGGCCCGAGGGAGGAUGAUCCGGAAGUCCGGAGACCGGACCCGCGCGACGAGACCUC
rnacentral:ncRNA from 2 species